UGCCUUUUUGUGUUGCCCAUUCUUUGCAUUUUCCAUUAAAGAAUGUGGUGUCAAUAAAGGCAUACAGUAAAGUCCUGGUCCGGCCUUUACCAGGUAACUCUAGUGUUACCUCAGGCGAAGCUCUGUACCAGGCACACAC